rnacentral:rRNA from 1 species
ACGCUGGCGGCACGCCUAACACAUGCAAGUCGAACGAAGUAGCAAUACUUAGUGGCAGACGGGUGAGUAACAUGUAGGUAUCUGCCCUUUGGCCUGGAAUAACACGAGGAAACUUGUGCUAAUACCGGAUAAGUCUUUACGGAGAAAGCUUUAUGCACCAUUGGAUGAGCCUGCACUUGAUUAGUUUGUUGGUGGGGUAAUGGCCUACCAAGACUUUGAUCAAUAGCUGAUUUGAGAGGAUGAUCAGCCACAUUGGGACUGAGACACGGCCCAAACUCCUACGGGAGGCAGCAGUGGGGAAUCUUGCACAAUGGAGGAAACUCUGAUGCAGCGAUGCCGCGUGAGUGAAGAAGGCCUUUGGGUUGUAAAGCUCUUUCGUCGGGGAAGAAAAUGACUGUACCCGAAUAAGAAGGUCCGGCUAACUUCGUGCCAGCAGCCGCGGUAAUACGAAGGGACCUAGCGUAGUUCGGAAUUACUGGGCUUAAAGAGUUCGUAGGUGGUUGAAAAAGUUGGUGGUGAAAUCCCAGAGCUUAACUCUGGAACUGCCAUCAAAACUUUUCAGCUAGAGUUUGAUAGAGGAAAGCAGAAUUUCUAGUGUAGAGGUGAAAUUCGUAGAUAUUAGAAAGAAUACCAAUUGCGAAGGCAGCUUUCUGGAUCAAUACUGACACUGAGGAACGAAAGCAUGGGUAGCGAAGAGGAUUAGAUACCCUCGUAGUCCAUGCCGUAAACGAUGUGUGUUAGACGUUGGAAAUUUAUUUUCAGUGUCGCAGCGAAAGCGAUAAACACACCGCCUGGGGAGUACGACCGCAA